rnacentral:rRNA from 1 species
UACGUAGGGCGCAAGCGUUGUCCGGAAUUAUUGGGCGUAAAGAGCUCGUAGGCGGCUUGUCACGUCGGGUGUGAAAGCCCGGGGCUUAACCCCGGGUCUGCAUUCGAUACGGGCUAGCUAGAGUGUGGUAGGGGAGAUCGGAAUUCCUGGUGUAGCGGUGAAAUGCGCAGAUAUCAGGAGGAACACCGGUGGCGAAGGCGGCGACCUGGGUAGAUACUGACGCUGAGGUGCGAAAGCGUGGGGAGCAAACAGG